GGUGGCUCAGUGGUAGAGUGCUUGCUUCGCAUACAUGAGGCCCUGAGUUCGAUUCCUCAGCACCG
rnacentral:tRNA from 1 species